AUUGAACGCUGGCGGCAGGCCUAACACAUGCAAGUCGAGCGGCAGCGGGGAGUAGCUUGCUACUUUGCCGGCGAGCGGCGGACGGGUGAGUAACGCGUGGGAAUCUACCCAUUUGUGGGGGAUAACUUGGGGAAACCCAAGCUAAUACCGCAUAAUCCCUACGGGGGAAAGCAGGGGACCUUUUGGCCUUGCGCAGAUGGAUGAGCCCGCGUCGGAUUAGCUAGUUGGUAGGGUAAAGGCCUACCAAGGCGACGAUCCGUAACUGGUCUGAGAGGAUGACCAGUCACAUCGGGACUGAGACACGGCCCGAACUCCUACGGGAGGCAGCAGUGGGGAAUCUUGGACAAUGGGGGCAACCCUGAUCCAGCCAUGCCGCGUGUGUGAAGAAGGCCCUAGGGUUGUAAAGCACUUUCAGUAGGGAGGAAGGCUUCGGGUUAAUACCCUGGAGUACUUGACGUUACCUACAGAAGAAGCACCGGCUAAUUUCGUGCCAGCAGCCGCGGUAAUACGAAAGGUGCGAGCGUUAAUCGGAAUUACUGGGCGUAAAGCGCGCGUAGGCGGUUAGUUAAGUCGGAUGUGAAAGCCCAGGGCUCAACCUUGGAACUGCAUCCGAUACUGGCUAGCUAGAGUGCAGUAGAGGGAGGUGGAAUUUCCGGUGUAGCGGUGAAAUGCGUAGAGAUCGGAAGGAACACCAGUGGCGAAGGCGGCCUCCUGGACUGACACUGACGCUGAGGUGCGAAAGCGUGGGGAGCAAACA
rnacentral:rRNA from 1 species